AUGAACGCUGGCGGCGUGCCUAAUACAUGCAAGUCGAGCGAACAGACGAGAGUGCUUGCACUCUCUGACGUUAGCGGCGGACGGGUGAGUAACACGUGGGUAACCUACCUAUAAGACUGGGAUAACUUCGGGAAACCGGAGCUAAUACCGGAUAAUAUUUAGCUUCGCAUGAAGCAAUAGUGAAAGACGGUUCUGCUGUCACUUAUAGAUGGACCCGCGGUGUAUUAGCUAGUUGGUGAGGUAACGGCUCACCAAGGCAACGAUACAUAGCCGACCUGAGAGGGUGAUCGGCCGCACUGGGACUGAGACACGGCCCAGACUCCUACGGGAGGCAGCAGUAGGGAAUCUUCCGCAAUGGACGAAAGUCUGACGGAGCAAUGCCGCGUGAGUGAAGAAGGUUUUCGGAUCGUAAAACUCUGUUGUAAGGGAAGAACAAGUACGUUAGUAACUGAACGUACCUUGACGGUACCUUACCAGAAAGCCACGGCUAACUACGUG
rnacentral:rRNA from 1 species